rnacentral:rRNA from 1 species
UACGUAGGGUGCGAGCGUUGUCCGGAAUUAUUGGGCGUAAAGAGCUCGUAGGCGGCUUGUCGCGUCGGAUGUGAAAGCCCGGGGCUUAACUCCGGGUCUGCAUUCGAUACGGGCAGGCUAGAGUUCGGUAGGGGAGAUCGGAAUUCCUGGUGUAGCGGUGAAAUGCGCAGAUAUCAGGAGCAACACCGGUGGCGAAGGCGGAUCUCUGGGCCGAUACUGACGCUGAGGAGCGAAAGCGUGGGGAGCGAACAGG